rnacentral:rRNA from 1 species
AUACGGGGGGAGCAAGCGUUGUCCGGAAUUACUGGGCGUAAAGGACGCGUAGGCGGUUUAGAAAGUCAGAUGUGAAAGCCUAUGGCUUAACCAUAGAACUGCAUCUGAAACUCCUAGACUAGAGUGAGGGAGAGGUCAGUGGAAUUAGUGGUGUAGGGGUAAAAUCCGUAGAGAUCACUAGGAAUACUCAUAGCGAAGGCGACUGACUGGAACUUUACUGACGCUGAGGCGUGAAAGCGUGGGGAGCAAACAGGAUUAGAUACCCCAGUAGUCC